AGAGAUCCCUCUAGAAACAGUGUGGACAGUGGAUGGAGACAUGCGAGACUGACAGCCAACGCCAGUCUCUCCAAGGGACCCCAGCGUAUCUUACCAGCAAUUGAAUGCUCCAUUAAGCACUUGGCGAAGGACUGGACGGACAUGUGUGACCCAGACAUUUCCACAGAAGGUUAGCUUUCCAGAUGGAGUCCUCAUUUUCAUAAUGUGUGUAGGAUUAAGAUGUAAUCCACUAUUUCAAAGAAUACAAUAAUACACAAAAUACAUGCUCUGAUUUAUUUUUCCUCUUCUUUAACUGUAGAGGAUACAUCAAUAAACAGAAUUUUUCUUCAACAAA